UCGCGCAUCCCGCCCGCAGGAAGUCCUCGCUCGGGGGCCCUUCGCCCCCACCUCUCCGAGUCCCGCCCUACCGCACCUCCGAGCUCCGCAGUCUCCCCGCAGGGCCCCCCGAGACGAGCGCUCCUCCCGGCUUCGUGCGCCAUAGCGGUGGGGGAGGCGAAGGAGUACUGGAUGGAUCCGCUGAGCCUGGAAAACGUGGAUGCCAGAAAGGGUGGUCUGAUCUUCGCAGAGGUCUGAGGCCAGGAGGGAAGAAACCCAAAACAUCCUCUCUUCACCAGCACACCCCCUAAAAUGUUCUCAAGUUUUGUCUUGUCGCCCUCACUUCCAUUCCCUCAUGACCCCCCUCCCUCGCCACAAGAAGUUUCCCCGAGUGGACGGCUGCAGUAAAAUUUCCAAGGAAGUCAUUUCAGGACGCCCUUUGGCAGAACCCUGAGCCCCUUUAGCUCCCCUCCCUUUGGCCCCCAGAAUAAUAGCGGCCAGCUCCCCCGGUCAGGACCUCAUUUCUCGAGUGCAAGCUUAGAAGCCAUCCCCUGUUUAGUACCCUCUGUUCCACUGUUUUCCACCUCUGUUCACCUCGUGCAACACUUGCUUAAGGUUCCGAUGAAGGACGGUGAUUUGGGGCGACUUUAGCCUGCAGAGGCCUAGGAGGUCCACCCAGCUCUGACCUGGGGGGAGGGGAGCUCCUUCUAAACAAUAGGAAAAUACGGUAGGAGCUACCCGGCUCCAAAGCCCCUUGCAGCCCCAACCUGGUUUAAAUGCCUGGGAAUGACAGCAGCCAGCUCACCUCCACAGAGGCUGAUUCCUAUACAGUGAGGGUAAAUUUAGUCCCUGGUGAAAGGUGAGGGAUCAACAGCCACCUGUAAGAGGAACCCUCCACUUCUCAGCACUUUAUACUCGCUGCCUAUGCUGAAAAGGGAAGCAGGAUUCUUAAGCAGACUGGAAUGAAGUCACAAACAGAGGAACAAACU